AACGAACGCUGGCGGCAUGCCUAACACAUGCAAGUCGAACGAGACCUUCGGGUCUAGUGGCGCACGGGUGCGUAACGCGUGGGAACCUGCCCUUAGGUUCGGAAUAACUCCCCGAAAGGGGUGCUAAUACCGGAUAAUGUCUUCGGACCAAAGAUUUAUCGCCUUUGGAUGGGCCCGCGUUGGAUUAGCUGGUUGGUAGGGUAAAAGCCUACCAAGGCGACGAUCCAUAGCUGGUCUGAGAGGAUGAUCAGCCACACUGGGACUGAGACACGGCCCAGACUCCUACGGGAGGCAGCAGUGGGGAAUAUUGGACAAUGGGCGAAAGCCUGAACCAGCAAUGCCGCGUGAGUGAUGAAGGCCUUAGGGUUGUAAAGCUCUUUUACCCGGGAUGAUAAUGACAGUACCGGGAGAAUAAGCUCCGGCUAACUCCGUG
rnacentral:rRNA from 1 species